GGGGCUGAUUUUGGUUUCGAUUGGCGAGUUGACAACUGAACAGCGGGCAAGUGUUGGUCGCACUUCCACUUUGAGCGAACGCGACACCGAUUAAGCGCCGACACCAUCGACGCACCGGUUUCAGACGUUGAUUUCGCGGAGAUCGAGGCUUUCGCCAGCUCCGCGCUCGUCAGCGCCUGAGCCUGCCAGGGACAAGCAAGCCGCCGCGCGGAGUCCCCGGCAUCAUCUGUAGCGGCGGCGCCACCGCAGCACCGGCCAGUGAGCGGGAUACAAGAGAACAGGUCAAACGAAGCCAGAAGGGUGUUCCUCCCCUCGCUGGCGGGACUUCAAGAGGAACUACGCCCGUAGAACGCAGUUCGAUGCGAGUCAAGAUCCCGGUUCGAUCCCGGGCAGCUCCACUU
rnacentral:tmRNA from 1 species